rfam:Oreochromis niloticus linkage group LG8-24, whole genome shotgun sequence.
CUGGGUUAUGGAGAUAUGUACCCGGAGACAUGGUCAGGGAUGCUGGUGGGUGCGCUGUGUGCCUUGGCUGGUGUGCUAACCAUUGCUAUGCCUGUACCUGUCAUUGUCAACAAC